UAGUGGAGUGGCGCAAGGGUGAGUAAUGUAUACGUAACCAACCCAUCGGAGACGGAUAACAUCUCGAAAGGGAUGCUAAAACGGCAUGAAGCCACGAUUUCGCAUGAGAUUGUGGUUAAGGAACCGGUAACAGGUUGCCGAUGGCUGGGCGUAUAUCCGAUUAGCUAGUUGGUAGUGUAACGGACUACCAAGGCGACGAUCGGUAGCUGGUCUGAGAGGAUGAUCAGCCACACUGGCACUGAGACACGGGCCAGACUCCUACGGGAGGCAGCAGUGGGGAAUAUUGGGCAAUGCCCGGAAGGGUGACCCAGCAACGCCGCGUGGAGGAUGAAUGCCGUAAGGUUGUAAACUCCGACAAGCAGGGAAGAACGGCUAUGGUAAAAGGCCAUAGAGUGACGGUACCUGCCUGAAGCCCCGGCUAACUACGUGCCAGCAGCCGCGGUAAUACGUAGGGGGCGAGCGUUGUCCGGAUUUACUGGGUGUAAAGGGUGCGUAGGCGGGCAUGUAAGUCAGUGGUUAAAAACCGUUGCUUAACAACGGGGGUGCCAUAGAUACUAUAUGUCUAGAGUUCGGUAGGGUGAGCUGGAAUUCCUGGUGUAGUGGUGAAAUACGCAGAUAUCACGAGGAAUACCGGAGGCGAACGCGAGCUUUUGGGCCGAUACUGACGCUGAGGCACGAAAGCGUGGGGAUCAAACAGGAUUAGAUACCCUGGUA
rnacentral:rRNA from 1 species